GCCCAGCUAGCUCAGUUGGUAGAGCAUGUGACUCUUAAACUCGCGGUCAUGGGUUCAAGCCCCAUGCUGGGCG